GGCCAAGAGCUUGGGCACUGGACUUGCCCGCUGCGUCCAGGGAAGAGGCAGCCUGGCCAGAGGUGGGCCACUCUGGGGGCCAGGGUACAUGACCACCCAAUUGAGCAGAGGCUUUGGUCGGGGAGCUGCUGUCCCCAGUCCCCCUACCUGCCCCCACCCUCCCACUCCAUACCACCCUCCCCUUUCUGGUGUCCCCAGGCCCCUGACCCCGCCUGAUCCUCGUGGCUGGUGGACAUCACCAGAAGGGCCUCAGCUCUUUUAUCCAGCAGCUCCACCUCCCGCAGGCUGGAGCCCUUCCCUGUGUGAGACUGUAGUUCCGAGGAGGCUGCAGUCCCCCCAUGAAA
rnacentral:lncRNA from 1 species